rnacentral:rRNA from 1 species
AUUGAACGCUGGCGGCAGGCCUAACACAUGCCAGUCGAACGGUAACAGGAAACAGCUUGCUGUUUCGCUGACGAGUGGCGGACGGGUGAGUAAUGUCUGGGAAACUGCCUGAUGGAGGGGGAUAACUACUGGAAACGGUAGCUAAUACCGCAUAACGUCGCAAGACCAAAGAGGGGGACCUUCGGGCCUCUUGCCAUCGGAUGUGCCCAGAUGGGAUUAGCUAGUAGGUGGGGUAACGGCUCACCUAGGCGACGAUCCCUAGCUGGUCUGAGAGGAUGACCAGCCACACUGGAACUGAGACACGGUCCAGACUCCUACGGGAGGCAGCAGUGGGGAAUAUUGCACAAUGGGCGCAAGCCUGAUGCAGCCAUGCCGCGUGUAUGAAGAAGGCCUUCGGGUUGUAAAGUACUUUCAGCGGGGAGGAAGGGAGUAAAGUUAAUACCUUUACUCAUUGACGUUACCCGCAGAAGAAGCACCGGCUAACUACGUG